CUUGGUUUAUGUGCCUGGCUGGAGGAGACACCCAUGGCCUUGCAGAGGGAGCGUUCUGGUGGGAAAGCAGACACAACCCACCCUAGGCCCGUGGUUUCCCUGCAAGAAGCCCAGUGGCUUUCUGGAGGACACUUUUCCUGGAGGAAGUGACUCAAGAGCAGCAUAAGCCAGGCUCUAUGGAAUGUUGGGUGAGCUGCUUGAGGAACUCCAAGGCCUGUCCCACAGUCUUCCAGCCUCCGACUCUCCGGCCCUCAGCGAGGAAGUCCCACUGGUUUUUUUGGUUGGUUUUUUUUUUUUUUUUCUCAUUCCUGUCUUGGGAGCUUUCCCCAACCAGGAGAGUGAAGAUGGGCGGAGCUGUCACACCAACUGUUAGCCUGCCUUGGCUGAGAGGAGAGGAGGCGAGGAGGGAGCGACCACCCAGCUUUAGUCGUUUUAAAACAGCUCCUGACCCUAGAAGAAGGGAAAUGGAGAUGAAGACCCAAUUGACUUGGUAUGAAGUUUAAAUGCCCCUUCAAGACUUGGGGGUCGAGGACGGCUUCCCUCCCUCCCAGUGCUGAUUUCCUGUGGACCAGAUUCCAGCACAGUGGAGGGCCAGAGCUCAGGGAACAGACCCAGCAGCACAGCAAGUCUCCAAGGAAAGCUCUAGCAGUCUCCAGGGGCUGAAGGCAGGACUGGGGAAGCGGCUAGCCAGGCUGCAGAAGGCAAAUGCUCCCAGACGGCUGUCCAGCACGCAUCCGCCUUCCUAGCCAAGUUUCCUGGGCUCCUGCCACAGAUCUAAGCCUCAUCCUGACAUCCUGCCCUCUGUGCUCUGGGAUGGCCCAGGGGAGAUGCUUAGCCUUGGCUCCUUGUCUGCUGGUGGAGGGGACACACACCCUUUCUGGACCACAGACCAAAAAGAAGACCUGACGUCAUCCUGAGCACCCCCGCCAUGCAGAGUGUGUUCGCAGACUGCCAACGGGCUGGCUCCGGCCAGCAGAAGUGAACAGAGGUGGAGGUUCAGCCUGACAGCUUCUCCCCAAAGCCAUGGAGAGAAAACCUUACCACCCCCACCGCCCAGCUACUUCCAGCAAGUUGUCCAGCCUGACCCCUCUAUUUCCCCUGUUGUCUCUUAUCUGGGUCCCUGAGACCCACCCCAUCUCCAAUAAAGAACAUUGCAUACUGUG
ensembl:lincRNA Gm3764 predicted gene 3764